rnacentral:rRNA from 1 species
GCACCACAAGGCGUGAAGCUUGCGGUUCAAUUGGAGUCAACGCCGGGAACCUUACCGGGGGCGACAGCAGGAUGAAGGCCAGGUUGAUGGUCUUGCUGGACGAGCUGAGAGGAGGCGCAUGGCCGUCGUCAGUUCGUGCCGUGAGGUGUCCUCUUAAGUGAGGUAACGAUCGAGACCCGCGCCCCUUGUUGCUAACAGACUCCAUCGGGGUCUGUGCACACUAGGGGGACCGCCGUCGAUAAGACGGAGGAAGGAGCGGGCCACGGCAGGUCAGUAUGCCCCGAAUCCCCCGGGCCACACGCGAGCUGCAAUGGCAGGGACAAUGGGUGUCGACUCCGAAAGGAGGAGGUAAUCUCUAAACCCUGCCUCAGUUGGGGUGGGGGGGGGAAACCCGUCCUCGUGAAUAUGGAAUGCCUAGUAAUCGCGCGUCAUCAUCGCGCGGUGAAUACGUCCCCGCUCCUUGCACACACCGCCCGUCGUUCCAUCCGAGUGGGGUUUGGGUGAGGCGUAGUCCUUGGUGGCUGCGUCGAACUCAGGUUCCGCAAGGAGGGAA